AUGCAGAAUAUUCCAUUCACCAAACGGUCGUUAAAGAGUUUGUGUGGGAGGAUAAGUCGAGAACAACCAGAUGAUGAUGUGCGGGCCAUUGAGGUGUUGCAGAGUUGGGAGCAAGAUCCAUAUUUCGUAUACCAUGUCCACGCAGAUGCGGAGGGUAGGAGAAAGAACUUAAUGUGGGCAAACGAAAACAGGAGACUGCAGUAUAAAAUUUUCGGAGAUGUAGUGACAUGUGAAACAACUUAUCGAACUAAUCUGUACAACAUGCCAUUUGGGCUUUUUGUGGGGGUGAACAACCAUUUCCAGAGCAUUAUCAAUGCUGGUGUGCUGGUAGUGGACGAGACUGAAGAAAGUUUCAUGUGGGCCUUCUCUGAAUUUCUCAGGAUGAUGGUAGGGGUGGCACCAAGGACAGUUCUGAUAGAUCAGAAUAAGGCAAUGGAGCUUGCGCUGAAUAGUAUCAUGCCAAACACAGCGCAUCGAUGGUGUAAAUGGCCUGUGUUGAAGAAAGCAAAGAAGACCCUCGGGCCACUGUACAGCAAGAAGAGUGAUUUCAGUCUGGAAUUCCAUAAAGUUGGGAACAGCAUGCUGACUGUAGAUGAAUUCGAGGAAGGGUGGCGCAUGCUGCUGGAGAAGGACAAACUACAAACACAUCCAUACAUGACUCGGCUCUUUGAGGCUGAGAAGUGGGCGAAGCCAUAUUUCAAAGGUGUGUUUUGUGCUAUGAUGACAAGUACACAGAGAAGCGAGAGUGCAAAUCACAUGUUAAAGAACUAUGUGCCUCCCGGUUGCCCGAUGCAUAUGUUUGUAAAGAAGUACAGGAGGCUGCAGUUUUAUCGUGAGUCGGAUGAGAACUAUGGAGAGAAGAGAACAAGAAUUUUAAGUGAUUCUUAUGAUUUAGACUGUCACUUAAUGUGA
rnacentral:rRNA from 1 species